rnacentral:rRNA from 2 species
AAUCCAUAGGUUAAUGAGGCGAACCGGGGGAACUGAAACAUCUAAGUACCCCGAGGAAAAGAAAUCAACCGAGAUUCCCCCAGUAGCGGCGAGCGAACGGGGAGGAGCCCAGAGCCUGAAUCAGCAUGUGUGUUAGUGGAAGCGUCUGGAAAGGCGCGCGAUACAGGGUGACAGCCCCGUACACAAAAGCGCAUGUGCUGUGAGCUCGAUGAGUAGGGCGGGACACGUGGUAUCCUGUCUGAAUAUGGGGGGACCAUCCUCCAAGGCUAAAUACUCCUGACUGACCGAUAGUGAACCAGUACCGUGAGGGAAAGGCGAAAAGAACCCCGGCGAGGGGAGUGAAAAAGAACCUGAAACCGUGUACGUACAAGCAGUGGGAGCACCCUUUGGGUGUGACUGCGUACCUUUUGUAUAAUGGGUCAGCGACUUAUAUUCUGUAGCAAGGUUAACCGAAUAGGGGAGCCGGAGGGAAACCGAGUCUUAAUUGGGCGUUAAGUUGCAGGGUAUAGACCCGAAACCCGGUGAUCUAGCCAUGGGCAGGUUGAAGGUUGGGUAACACUAACUGGAGGACCGAACCGACUAAUGUUGAAAAAUUAGCGGAUGACCUGUGGCUGGGGGUGAAAGGCCAAUCAAACCGGGAGAUAGCUGGUUCUCCCCGAAAGCUAUUUAGGUAGCGCCUCGUGAAUUCAUCUCCGGGGGUAGAGCACUGUUUCGGCUAGGGGGCCAUCCCGGCUUACCAACCCGAUGCAAACUGCGAAUACCGGAGAAUGUUAUCACGGGAGACACACGGCGGGUGCUAACGUCCGUCGUGAAGAGGGAAACAACCCAGACCGCCAGCUAAGGUCCCAAAGUCAUGGUUAAGUGGGAAACGAUGUGGGAAGGCCCAGACAGCCAGGAUGUUGGCUUAGAAGCAGCCAUCAUUUAAAGAAAGCGUAAUAGCUCACUGGUCGAGUCGGCCUGCGCGGAAGAUGUAACGGGGCUAAACCAUGCACCGAAGCUGCGGCAGCGACACUGUGUGUUGUUGGGUAGGGGAGCGUUCUGUAAGCCUGCGAAGGUGGCCUGUGAGGGUUGCUGGAGGUAUCAGAAGUGCGAAUGCUGACAUAAGUAACGAUAAAGCGGGUGAAAAGCCCGCUCGCCGGAAGACCAAGGGUUCCUGUCCAACGUUAAUCGGGGCAGGGUGAGUCGACCCCUAAGGCGAGGCCGAAAGGCGUAGUCGAUGGGAAACGGGUUAAUAUUCCCGUACUUGGUGUUACUGCGAAGGGGGGACGGAGAAGGCUAUGUUGGCCGGGCGACGGUUGUCCCGGUUUAAGCGUGUAGGCUGGUUUUCCAGGCAAAUCCGGAAAAUCAAGGCUGAGGCGUGAUGACGAGGCACUACGGUGCUGAAGCAACAAAUGCCCUGCUUCCAGGAAAAGCCUCUAAGCAUCAGGUAACAUCAAAUCGUACCCCAAACCGACACAGGUGGUCAGGUAGAGAAUACCAAGGCGCUUGAGAGAACUCGGGUGAAGGAACUAGGCAAAAUGGUGCCGUAACUUCGGGAGAAGGCACGCUGACACGUAGGUGAAGUGAUUUACUCAUGGAGCUGAAGUCAGUCGAAGAUACCAGCUGGCUGCAACUGUUUAUUAAAAACACAGCACUGUGCAAACACGAAAGUGGACGUAUACGGUGUGACGCCUGCCCGGUGCCGGAAGGUUAAUUGAUGGGGUCAGCGCAAGCGAAGCUCCUGAUCGAAGCCCCGGUAAACGGCGGCCGUAACUAUAACGGUCCUAAGGUAGCGAAAUUCCUUGUCGGGUAAGUUCCGACCUGCACGAAUGGCGUAAUGAUGGCCAGGCUGUCUCCACCCGAGACUCAGUGAAAUUGAACUCGCUGUGAAGAUGCAGUGUACCCGCGGCAAGACGGAAAGACCCCGUGAACCUUUACUAUAGCUUGACACUGAACAUUGAGCCUUGAUGUGUAGGAUAGGUGGGAGGCUUUGAAGUGUGGACGCCAGUCUGCAUGGAGCCGACCUUGAAAUACCACCCUUUAAUGUUUGAUGUUCUAACGUGGACCCGUUACCCGGGUUGCGGACAGUGUCUGGUGGGUAGUUUGACUGGGGCGGUCUCCUCCUAAAGAGUAACGGAGGAGCACGAAGGUUGGCUAAUCCUGGUCGGACAUCAGGAGGUUAGUGCAAUGGCAUAAGCCAGCUUGACUGCGAGCGUGACGGCGCGAGCAGGUGCGAAAGCAGGUCAUAGUGAUCCGGUGGUUCUGAAUGGAAGGGCCAUCGCUCAACGGAUAAAAGGUACUCCGGGGAUAACAGGCUGAUACCGCCCAAGAGUUCAUAUCGACGGCGGUGUUUGGCACCUCGAUGUCGGCUCAUCACAUCCUGGGGCUGAAGUAGGUCCCAAGGGUAUGGCUGUUCGCCAUUUAAAGUGGUACGCGAGCUGGGUUUAGAACGUCGUGAGACAGUUCGGUCCCUAUCUGCCGUGGGCGCUGGAGAACUGAGGGGGGCUGCUCCUAGUACGAGAGGACCGGAGUGGACGCAUCACUGGUGUUCGGGUUGUCAUGCCAAUGGCACUGCCCGGUAGCUAAAUGCGGAAGAGAUAAGUGCUGAAAGCAUCUAAGCACGAAACUUGCCCCGA